GUGUCAGUUCUCUGGUGGGGGGCACUGGAAGCAGAGGAAGAACAGUGGAGCUUUUGAUAGUAGUACUUUGCCAACACAAGGACUUGUACCUACAUAUGUGUGAUUGUUACUGGCUUACUAACAAAUUUGGGACUUGGCAAAUGCUCUGAUUUUAUUUUUUAUUUUUUAUUUUGGUACUGGG